rnacentral:misc_RNA from 1 species
AAAGUCGUAACAAGGUUUCCGUAGGUGAACCUGCGGAAGGAUCAUUAACGAGUCCUUGGGGGUUGUGCUGGCGUCUCCGGACGCAAGUGCACGCCCCCUUUCAUUCAUUCAUACACCCUGUGCACCUUGAAGAGAUCGCAGAGGUCCCCUCCCGUUUCAGGUGUCCCCCCGUCCGGGGGGCUUAAGAGGUAGGUCCUUUGAGAUCUGAAUACACACGCCACGUAAAGUCGUUAGAAUGUCUAAUCGGAAAACGAUAAUCAUAACUUUCAACAACGGAUCUCUUGGUUCUC